CACUGAUGGCCUAGUGGAUAAGAGUGUCCACCUCAGAUGUGGGAGAUUGUGGGUUUGAACCCCGGCCAGAAGA